rnacentral:rRNA from 1 species
UACGUAGGGGGCAAGCGUUGUCCGGAUUUAUUGGGCGUAAAGAGCGUGUAGGCGGCUUUACAGGUCCGUUGUGAAAACUCGAGGCUCAACCUCGAGACGCCGGUGGAAACCGUAAGGCUAGAGUACAGAAGAGGUAACUGGAAUUCCCGGUGUAGUGGUGAAAUGCGUAGAUAUCGGGAGGAACACCAGUGGCGAAGGCGACUACCUGGCCCAUUCUUGACGCUGAGGCGCGAAAGCUAGGGGAGCGAACGGG